CACGAAGGGGGCUAGCGUUGUUCGGAAUCACUGGGCGUAAAGCGCAAGUAGGCGGCGCGUUAAGUCAGGGGUGAAAUCCUGGAGCUCAACUCCAGAACUGCCUUUGAUACUGGCGUGCUCGAGUGUGGGAGAGGUUGGUGGAACUCCGAGUGUAGAGGUGAAAUUCGUAGAUAUUCGGAAGAACACCAGUGGCGAAGGCGGCCAACUGGCCCAUUGCUGACGCUGAGGUGCGAAAGCGUGGGGAGCAAACAGG
rnacentral:rRNA from 1 species